rnacentral:lncRNA from 1 species
CCGGCAUCCGCGUGAGCCCCACGGUGACGCGCUAAGGUGUGGGUCAGCCCGGCGCUAGCUGAUGGAGCCCCACGCCGGGCGGCGAGUAGGGCCCGGUGCCACCGUCAGGGCAGCUCUGCAAGGUGUGAAGAGGCGCCCGGUGGACCGGUGGCCUGAGACUCGGAACCAAGCAGAAGCCCAAUUGCGGAUCGAUUGCCACUGGUGCUGUUACCCUAGAGGCUGUGGGAAUACAGGACACGGACCUUUUCGGUGAAAAUGCAUCCAAUGAUAAAGUCCCUCCCCUAAGAGCCAACAAAUGAAGGUCCGAAGUACCACGAAAAGCAGGGUUAUCUGCGCUUGUGUGGUGGAAUGAAUAAGCAGACAGAACUACAGAUUUUUAGCUCCUUCAUUCCCAGUUCAUUAGGAUUAAAUCGGUGUGCUUAGAAUUUUGGAAUCAGAGGUGUUUGAUAGUACGGUUUUCCAAGAUCUUUUACAGAAUUGGCUAGCUUUUUAUGUCACCCAAAAGGAAUUGCCCACUGGAAUUAAAAUAGCAUAACAGUGUUGCUUUUGGCAUUUGACACGGUUAAAUAUGCAAACCAAAAGAGAAACAAAUAAAUCUCAACUAAAUAUUCAGCUUGAAAGCUGAAGCAAAAACGUCAGGAAAUGUAAGGAAAGACUGAUAAAAUAACCAGAAUGCCUUAGUAGAAACAGCGUAUUAGCUUAUCUACAUUUAUAAAUGUAUAUUAAUUACAGUCAAUGUGAAUCAAAUAAACGAAGGAGUACUGUUACAUUUUGUAUUUUCUCAUCAUUUUUAAUGAGAAUAUGAACAAUAUUAAGGUCCAAUUUUCCUUUUUUUGUUUUUUAGUUUAACUCAUUAUGGUUGUAAAAUAAAAAGACAGCAAAACCUAUAAGCAAUUAUCUCUGUCCAAUUGGAUAUUGCUACUCCAAACCACAGCUACAUGACUAUCAACCAAUGAUUGUGAAAACCACAGUGGAGAGGGGCAUCGGGGAACGAUAUUGCAAAACCACAGCAAGGACUGAGUCUGUGAUACUGAAAGCCACAAUUCACAACUAAUGCCCUGUGUGUUGCAAAUUACCGUUUAACUAUAAAUGCGGAAAUGUAAAAGUAACAGCACAAAAUCAUUUCUCAUUUACUUAAAAAUGAAUUAUUCAUUUUCUGGACUUGCUGGUUUAAUGUCUACCUAUGGUUUACAUGGAAAAGUUUCUGCUUUCAAAAAGCAAAUCCUUUGAAAUACCAAAGAAGAUAUCGGUCAAUUUAAAAACAGAAGACAUGCAACUUUUAAUCAUAUUUUGUGAAAUGUUAAAAAAUUGAUCUGAAAGAAAUAUAUACCUCUGAAUAGCUUUCUUCAUAAAGUUCUUUGGAAAUGAAAAGGUUUGUUAGUGGAAACUGUUUGGGGGCAAAGCUCAAAGUAUUCUAUUACAACUUUGAUGAAAAUAUCAUUACCCAUGUUCAUAAAUAGUCAUUUUUAGCUAGAAAACAUGUCUGACAAUGAAACAAGAUGCCAAUACCAAAACUUCUUUAAUAUGGGAAAUCAAGUGUUGGCUUACAAAUGAGUAAAAUGACAGCACUUGCUAUCUUCUAAGAUUGCUACAUUUUUCAAAUGAAUUUACAAAGUGCCCAGUUAAACGUGAAUUUCAAAAAAGGAAAACUAGUUCUUUAGGAUAAGUAUGUCCUAUAUACUCUUUGGGUGUAUACUUCUCCUAGAUAAUAAUUGGGGCUUAUCUGAAAUUCAGAUGUAACUGGGCAUCUUGUAUUUUAUCUGGCAAAUCUGUAAGUUCAGCAUUUUACCAUUUUCACAUACUUGUGGUUGUUAUAAUAUUGUUUAUAGAAAGGCAGAGAAACCCUAACAUGUUUCUUGCAGGCAUAAAUAUAUUUAAUUCUUGAAUGGUGUAUUAUUCAGAGAAGGCAAGGUAGAAGGAAUAAAUUUCUCUAAAAAAUUCUUACUUUAUUUGGCGCAGUAUAGAAAUGCACUCCCAGUGUAAAUGGGUUGCAUUCAUGUAUGUCUUACUCUUAGAUUUGUUUUUAAAAUGUGUUUUUUCCUCCAAGGGAUCAACAAAUUGAUAAAGCAACCUCUAAGGCCACAGCUUAUUAGACAGCAAGCUGCCUUCUUUAUUAUGGGAGUAAAUAAUAUCACAAAGCUUCAGAAAGACUUAAUUUUUGCCCUUGUAUCCACACCAGAAAUUGAACACAGUUUAUCUGCCUUGAUUUAAGAUUAUGAUGCUGAAUUGAACAAGAAUACUGUAUGAAAAUAGUGUUUAGUAUUUAUGGAUCUUUAUAAUUAAAACAUUUUAAAAAUAACAAUCAACAAAUUCAUCUAAAUCCCAUUCCUGUUUCAUAACUAUGAAAAACACUAUCUUCUCACUUGCAAAGGGGCCCAAGGCUUUGGAAAGAUUCAGUCCAUCCAGAUUGGGGCUUUCACUCAAGCUCCCUAUGGACUGUGAAGCCCUGGAAAGAAGUCUGUAUGUACAAAUAAUUUUCUACGGAGUGGCUCUAUGAAGUUCAUCAGCUUUCCAAAUUACAUGAAGAAGAUGCUGUGAACCAGUGUGGGUUAGGAAACACUGCUGUCUUUCCUGGUCACCGUUGAGUCCCUUCCUGCCCGGACCCACAUGGCUCCCAGCACUACAAACACAGCACACAUGUCCCACCCUGUGAGCACCCGAGACUGUCGCAGGACCAUGAGGCUCAUUCCACAGAUGGAGAUGGGCGUCUGAGUCCACACCUGGCCUGCAGCUGGCCAGGCCCCGGCCCCGGGCGGCAGCCUCCUGUGAGUGUCGUGUUGGGGAGUCCUCCGCAGAGAACCCUCCCCCACUGCCUGUUCCCAUCGACUCGGUCACCCUCCCUGGGCCUGUGCAGUCCCUGGGUGACUCUAGGCACCCAGCCUUCCACUCUCCCUAGGUCCCCUGGGCCACCCAGUCUCUAGCCCUGGCUGAGCGCCUCAGUCUCCCUCUUGCCCCAGGCAGACCUUCAGCUCAGAGAAAUUGUCAGGACCACAAGUAUUACUGACAGCCACAACAAAGCUGGGCCGGCUGACUGGCUUUCCUGAGGAGGCCUAGUCUUCGCUGGAAGCUGGAGAACAGCACCUUUGUCAAUAUGAGAGGCAGCCUAGGGAGCAGGCGCCUGCCACUUCCUUAACCACCCGAAGGCAUUCGGUGAACGUGUGUUCCAAAAUAAACCUUGGGCAGGCACUUAAACUUACGAUUUUUAAAAACAAUCUUUUAAAAUUAGAAUUAUUUUCAUUCUUACAAAAUUCAGUUUAAAAAAUGUUGUGAAAGGAAGAACUACCGCAGAGCCAGAUUAUGAACUUGCUCAGAGCUAAGGGCGGAGAUUUGGGACACCAAGGCUGAGCUAGACCAGUGGUCUAGGGCUGGGAGUCCCGGUCCCCCGGCCUGGGGCAGAAGACAGGAGGGAGGGGAGAGCAGGAAGGUGAAACCAGGGACCUGAAAUGCACUUCUGGAGGAGAGAAGAGGAAGGAGAAUUGCAUGCUGAGUAAGGAAGAGCAGAGGAGCCAUGGGAGGAAGAGCCCAGGACAGAGGCUGGGUCACAGCUGGGGAGGGAUAGGACUCCCAAGACGAGAGGCAGUCAGACCAUGGGACCCCGUGCAGACCAGGGAUGGGUGGAAAACAAGAAUGAGGGUAGGGAUGGUCCCUGUGUGGGACAGAAUGGGCAGUGAAGAGCACAAGGAAACAGCUGAAGGCCCACGCUGAGGAAGGAGGGACUUAGGGAGGCACUGCAGGAGGCAGUGUCGGGAGACAGGGCGGGCCAGGGAGACCACAGGGAAGGAAGCCAGAGUCACCAGAGUAGGGCAGCAGAGGGCACCCAGACAGGGAGCCCUGAGGCCAGAGCUGAUCCUUCACAACCACUGAGUGAGGCUGGAGCCUCAUCUGGCCAGGAAUGGAAACACUCUGCAACACCAGUGGAGUCAGUACUGCCCCUUGCAAAAACUCAAGACGAAAUGCAUGGGUCCGGAGUGUUGAGCAUUCAGAUGUAUAUUCUUGGAGUUUUUAUAACCCUUUAUAACCAUCACGUUCAUGUCCUUUUGCAUUUUAUGUAGUUGGUUUAUAGGCAAGCACAAACAUUGGGGAAGAAGAGGUGAUUGUUAAGAGACCAGCAUUGUGUCUGAGUAUGUGCCUUUCUGGUUGAGCAGUUACCUUGCACCUCUGAGAAGAAAUGAUGGCCUUUAAUGAUGCCAUAUUACAUAUACUGUAUUUGGAAGGGUUUUAAAUGUCUUAGCUGGUAAGACUGGAGAAUAUAGGGUGUUAAUAUGUCCUUAAAAUUUUAACAGCUACCUACCCUGAGUCCGGUCUGACCAUUAAAUCAUCCUAGAACCACAAAUCUGAUUCCAGAAAUAAAUCUAAAAGAAAUAAUUACCAUUCCCACAGGUCCAUUAGUAAGAGUGGGCCAGUGAUUAAGCAAUUGUCCCUCAGUGCCAAGCCAAACUCCACAGUGGGCUUGGAGGCACGAGGGCUAAUGCUCUGCAAAUUACAUUUCUCCACUGCCAUCUGGCCCUCUUCUACUUGGCCAGUAGUAGGGCACUGGAGGAAGCUGAAAGGCAGAAGAGGAAACAAAGAACUUGCUCCUUCCUCUGUCCUUGCUAUCCCUGCCAGCUCGACCCCACCGAAGCCUUCUCCCCCCAUUUCCAAAGAUCAUUUGCUCCAGAGUCAGAUCCUUCAGCUCUGAGUCCACUUCGUGGGUCUGAGGGGCUCCCUGACUUGUGGGGUGUUCAGUCUGGCCGUGGCCUGGGCCGAUCCUCGUGGCGGCCCUCUGUGGGCCUUCUAGGCACUGCUGGUCCUCAGCCCUCCUCCCUGGGUGGCACCCUGUGGAUGGCAGCUACUCCCUGGAGUUAGGUUCUUGGUGCUGCUUCAGGGUCGCCAUGUUCCUCGCCGGCCCUUCAAUCCUUAACGUCCAGUUUCUUAUACAAAUUUUUCUCUGGCAGAAAAACUCAUACAGUUGUCUUUUCAUGACCCAAUUCUGACUCAUGCAGAGAAGUUCAAGGUCUUCUGUAGGGAACUUUAUAGGACCUGUCUCAAAAUUCCUCUUAAAUCUCCAUCUUUCCAAAGUAGCUUACUCCCUGCAGUUGUUAAAAGUUCGUCCACUCUGCCACCCAGCUGUCCCGGUUUAUGUUUCACUUCCGAGGGUCAUCAGUCCCCUUAAUCCACCACACCCAGGUAUGGAUUUCAGAAGUGUGGCUCUGGGGCUCCCUCCCCCUGUGAAGCCACAGAAGAGGCUUCUGUGCUUCCCGCUGAAUGUUUUCCAGUGCUUUUCUCGAAAAUUAGCCUUCCUGACACUAAUGGAAAAGAAAAGCCAUCACCUUGUUAGGUAGCUUGGCUGAAUCUUUGUGGUCUUCCAUAAAAGGAAGCAUAAAAUGUAUUUAUUCACAUGGUCAGAAGCCUCUCCUAUUUAUGGUAUUUUUUUUCUUUCUUUUAAAAGCCAAAUACUGUUCUUUUUGCUUUCUUAUUUUAAUGUAAUAUAAGUAGAUAUCAAUAAAGAAAAUAUAAAAAGCACCCUUCUAUGAAAAAAUAAAACAAUUUCAUAACAAUUACAGAGUAACAGUAGUUGUGUUCUUUUUCUUUCUCCCUGGACAAGCAGGAUUCCUUUGGAAUGCAGUGUCACAUAGCCAGGUCACAAACAUUGCUGUGGGCCCCUGUCUGAGAAAGCACACUGACACAGCGCUCUAACCCUGUCCCAUCCCUUCUAGGUUUUGUGGGAUAACAUCACUAAGAACACCCCCUGACCACCAGUGUGGGCCCUGCCCACAGACUGGGAAGCAUGGAGCAAUCCACACGACCUAUCCAAGUGGCCCUUGCAAUUCCACUUGGGGUGGGGUCCUUGUCAUCACAGCAAAUUGGGAAGGUGUCACCCAUGUUGUGUCCCUCCGCUUUCCCUAACAGGGUCUCUGGAGGGCAGAGUUUAUCUCUUAUUAGCUUGUUUCUUUCAGAAAGUAUCUGCAUAAGGACAGUCAAUUGCAUUUUAUAUGAAGACACAACCAAGUUCACUCUGAUAUGUUUACUUACUCAUUUGCGAUGGCCUAAAGGUCUCAUCUGCAUUAUUCAGCUGAGAAGCAAGAGAGAGACUUUUUGUAAAAAAUACAGAUAUCAUCCCUUUCCUACAAGAAAUGAAGAGUAGGUAAUGGUAUUUCCAUAUAUUUAAAUCUUUGACUUUCACAGGGAAGAAUAAUUCAUUCUUGGUUGUUUUUUUUUUAAAUCAUGAGUCACUGAAAUAAGACAGAAUAGGGGUGAGGAGGCACAUUUGGAAUGGUGCUGUGAGGCUCUUCCUGAGCUUUCUCCUCAGUACAUCAACUAUAACUGGUAAAAAUUCUGUGUGUGUGUUUGUAUUUCCAUUUAAGGUCUCUGAAACUGUCCUAAGGGCAUACAGAAAAUAGAAAAAAUAUUCCAGAAAGUCAAAUAAAACUAAGAUUUGGUAAGAAGAGUGAAAACGGGAGACCGGUAAAUCAUGAUGUACUCUCCACCCCCAAGUCAGGGAAGGAAAACUUGUAAUCUUGACAGUUGUUGCCCAAAACACAGGCUCCUCUGUCCCCGAGAUUCCAGCCUGGAGUGCAGACUGCUCUCUGGCAGGAGGAGGCAGGAAGUGAUACUUCAGCCUCUGAGUUCCACGUGGCAAAAGCUGUCUUCCAGGAAAGAGGGACCUAGAGGUCUUUGACUUCCUUCUUCCACUCAGAAAGCAAAUGUUUAGAAAUUUUGCUCAAUUGAAGGAGACAUGUCCUCUCCAAGAUAGGCAAGAAUGCUGAGCCCCAAACACCUCAAACCACACUCACUCUUCUGGCAGAGGUUCUGUACAGAAGGGUCAGUUUAAGAAGACAAGUGAAACUGCCCCCACCCAUCUCCUGUCUUGUAGAACAGAAGCACCAUGGUGGGAGAAGUGUGUGGUCACCAUCCUCAUUCCCAGCUGUGGAGCAAAGCCAGAGAGGUUUUGUCCAGGAGAGAGGUAUAAGAAGAGAAAGUUUUAUGGUUAACCCCAAGAGAAUUGAAUUUGCUUGGAAAAAAGAGUGAAAUUCCAAGCCUGAAAGGUGCCAUAAAAAAGUGAAGAUUUGCAGGAUAACCAAUUAAGCAGUCAAUAACUCUAUGCCAGCAACAAAUUCAACUGUAGACCAGGUAAAAGUUUAAUACAGAGAACCAAGUAAAGAAUCAGAUAAAUCACUUCUGAGGACAAAAUUAGAUAUGAAGAUUGGUUUUAAAUACUAGCCUUACCAGGGACCACAAAUUUAACUGGAUCAGACUACAGGGCAGUGUAUUUCUCAGGGCAUUAUCAAAAAUGAUGGAGUGGUCAGUGAACAGUUACUAGAGGCUAACACCUUCCUGUGAUAACAAUAGGGACAGACUAGCCAGAAGUCUAAGAGAAAGAUCAGGAAGAGAGCAGGAGAGGAGAGGAGAGACAAAGAGAAUCCUUUUAAAAGCACUGUCUCUCAGGAUAACUGUGUCCAUCCCCCAUGCUCUGUCUUCUGAAGACAAACUCAGAAGCUGCCAGUUGAAGACAAAGGCUUCAUUAAAGUAGUCCAGGAAAGUCACCAAAAAUAAACAAAAACAUCAAUGAGUCCUGGGCUAGAGGGGAUAUGUAUCCGGAGAUAUAUUAUGUAGAAUGUCCAAUUUUCAACAAAAAAUAUGAAAUGUGCAAAAAUACACCUUGUGGUAUCUUAGUUACUUUUCUCAUUGCUGGAACACAAUACUUGACACCCCCAAGUUGAAGGAGGAAAGGUUUAUCUUAGCUCACAGUGUGUAGAGAUUUCAGUCCACAGUUGGCUGGCUCCCAGGCAGGACCUCAAGGUAGAUGGUCAUGGCAGAGAAGAAUCAGUCCAUGGCAUGGUAGGCAGUAAGCAGCAGCCUUCCUUCAUUCCCUUCUCAUUCUAUCCAGGCUACAAGCCUAUUGGUUGGUGACAUCCACACUUGGGGUGGGUUUUUCAUCUUCAUUAAAUUCAUUCAACCACAUCCAGAACUAUGCUAAACCACUCAGUGGACUAAUCCAGUAUCACACACCCAAAUCCAAUACUGUACACCCAUGAUCCAGUCACUCCCAAAGCCCUUUCUGUGAAUGCAUGAAGCUUUAGAGGGUGAGGAUGUCUAGAAAAAAGCCAUAACAUGACACAUACAUGUUUUAAAAAUUAACAACAAAAACUACCUGUGAGAGGGCUCAGAUGUUACAGUACAAAACCUUCAGAGCAGCUAUUAAUAUAUUUUAAAAUUUUAAAGAAAUACUACUUAGCAAGUAAAGGAAUGUAUACAACAUUACCUCAUAAAAUAGAGACUACUAACACAAAGAUAGAAACUGUAAGAAAGAACCAAGCUGAUAUUCUGGACUUUAAAGCAAAAUAAUUGAAGUAAAUAAUUCCAUACAGGAGCUCAAUAGUAAUUUGAAUUCACAGAACAAAGAAAUAACACACAUGAAAUUUGGUGGUACACACCUACAGCACUCAGGAGGCUGAGGUAGGAGGAUUGCCACAAGUUCAAGGCCAGCCUGAGUUACAUAGUGAGCUCAAGCAUCGCCUGAACUGCAUAGUAAGACCCUGUCUUAAAAAAAAUACAUAAGAUUUAAUUGAUAGACUGAUUAUUCAAUCCAAAAACAAAAAUGAAAAAGAUUAAAGUGGAAAUUAACAGAGCCUCAUAGAAAUAGGGAACUACACUAAAAACAUCAAUAAAUGUAUAACUGGCAUACCAAAAUAAGAGGAAAAAGAGAGAAAACAGUAGAAAAAAAUAAUUGAAGAAAUAAUCAUCAAAAAAUUUUCAAGUUUGAUGAAAAACAUGAAUUUAUACAUCUGAGAAGCUCAACAAACCCCAAGUAGGAUAAACAAAUAAAUUACAGUGAGACAUAUAUUUGAAUGUUAAAUGCCAAAGACAAAGAGAAAAUCUGGAAAGCAGAAAGAGAGACUGUCCUCAUGGAUAAACAGCCAGUUUCACAGGAGAAGCCAUCCUCUGUUGCUUUCUGUCUUGUGUUCAUCCAGUUCCUUUCUAUCUCCCCUAGUCCUUCUCUUAGAAUGGAAAUGUGUACCCUGUGCCAUUGAAUGUUGGAAAUAUUUAACUUUCUUUUAAUUUUCAUAAGGGCUCACAGCUAAGAGCUUGCCUUGAGUCUCAGAGGAGACUUUGACUUGGGGUUUUCAUCACUGCUGAAACUGUUAUGACUUUGACCACUUGUAGGGGUAGAGUAAAUGUAUUUAACGUAAUGAGGUGAACAUGAGCCUUCUGGGGCAGGGCAUAGAAGGCUAUGGUUUAGAUCAAGAGUGGGGCUUCUGGAAGGUGGUAGCAUCACGAGGGUGCUGCAGUCUUCAGUUAUCUAUUGACAAGUCCAUAGGUGAAUGUGGUGUUACGAGGGGGGCCUUGUUUGGAAGAGGUGUGUCACUGGGAGCAUCCCUUGGGAGGGCAUAUAUUCCUCUUUUAUGCCUCCCUUCUCUCUCUGCUUCUGUCUUCCAUGAGGUGAGCAGCUUUCCUCUUCUAAGCCCUUCUGCCAUGUUUCUAUCUUGGAGCCCACCAAUCAUGAACUGAAUCCUCUGAAAUUUGUGAGCUAAAGUAAACUUCUCCUCUUUUAAGUUAAGAGUGUUGAGUAUUUUCCCCAGCAAUAGGAAAACUAAUUUAAACAAUAAAAUACAUAUUUUCUUAACUGAGUUGAAAAGCAAUGUUAUAAAAUAAUAUGAGUAUUAUUGGACUAAAGGUUUUAUAACAUUCAGAAAUAUAAUGUAUAUGACAAUAACAGCACAAAGGAAACAAAUGGAAGAAAAGAUGAAUUAGAGUGAGGAAAUUAUUCCAGACAGUAAGUCCAGGAAGAAAUGAAGAAAACUAGAAAUGCUAUAUCAGAAGAUUAAUAUAAUAAACUUUAAAUAAAUACUCACUCUUUUGUUCUUCAGCUUUCUAAAAAGACAUAAAAUUAGAUAAAUUACUAAUAACCACUCCAAAAUAUUUUGGGUCUGUAACAUGCAUGUGCAAGAUAUAUGUAACCAAAAUAGCCCAGAAAAGAAGAGGAAAAGAAAGGCAUAGGGAUGGUUUUCUGUACUCGUCGGGAUUAAAAUAGUACAUAUGUGAAGUGGAUUAUGUAUCUCAGGAUAUCUAUCGCAAUGUUAUUAAAAUAACUUUAAAAAACUAUAAAGGAAUUAAGCUCCUACAUAAAAAAUGUUCAGUAAUGGAGAGAAAAGUCUUGAAUUAUAAAAUCAAGUAUCAAAGAAGUGACAUAACUGCCAGCCUAUAGCAAUAAGAAGUUGGUGUGGACAACUAUCUUUUGAACAAAUUAGCAUAGAUAAAAUGAACAAAUUUCUAGGAAGAUGUAAACUGUUUACUCUGCCUUAAAAGCUAAUAGAAAAUAAGAAUACACUGUAACAUUGAAGAAGUUGAAUUAGUAACUUAAAGUUUUAUGAAGAAAAGCCCAGGCCUUCAUUAUUUAAUUCCACCAAACCUGGCAUGACAAACUUUUCUGAAAAACAGAAAAGGAGAAGACAUUUCCAAGUGAAUUCCAGGGAGCAGUAUUACUCUGAUGUUCAAGAUGUGAUAAAGCAGGGAAAGCAUUUACUAAUGAUGGUGAACCUUUUAGAGCUUUCAAUGACACAAAUAACCAGUUGCAGCAUGCGUGCCAUAGGUUCUCCACCACUUGUAUACACUACUAUCUUAUGAUUAUCAACACAAAAACCAUCAACAAAGUAGUCCAAAUACAAAUUCAACAACGUAUAAAAAAGAAUUUAUAUCAUGUGCUAGUGAGAUUUUCCCCUCAGGAAUGCAAGGUCAGUUUCACAUUCCAAAUCAAUUACUGUUAGGCAUAGAACGAAGGACAAAACAUACAUGAUUAUUUCAAAAGAAGAAAAAAUACCCGCAAAACCCAACUGACCAUCUGACAAAAUUCAAAACCCUUUCAUGAUAAAAACACACUCACUAAAACUAGAAAGAGAGGGAGGGUUCCUCAAGUUGAUAAAGUGCAUCUACACAAAGCUUAUGAGCCAGACAUGAUGGCACACACUUAUAAUCCCAGCUGUCUAGGAGGUUGAGACAGGAGAAUCACAAAUUUCAGCCAUACUUAGCAAUCAAUACAGGGAGACUCUGUCUCUGAAUAAAACAUGAAAAAGACUGGAGAUGUAGCUCAGUGUGAAGGCCCUGGGCUUAUUCCCCGGUACCUGCCAGAACUUUUGAUAAUAAAGGACUGAAAGCUUUCUCCCUAAGAUUAGGAAUUAAAACAAGGACUUGCUACUUGAAUUAGUUGUCAUACCAGAAGUUGCAGCCAGAGCACUUAGGCAAGAAAAAGAAAAAUGGCAUCUGGGCUGGAAAUAAAUAAGUAAAACUUUUUACAGGUAGUAUUAUCUUGUAUGUAGAAAAUGCCAGAAAGAAGAACCCAUUACCACUAAUAAACCCAGCAAAGCUGCAAUUUAAAAGAACAAUUGUAUUUCUAUAUGCUGAC